CUGCACAUUUUUUAUACAGGUUCAUGAAAACUUAGCCGAAAAGAUUCUCUUCCAAAAAAUUUUUUUACUUCUUGCGUUACGUCGGUUUACUUACUACAAGUAAUGGGUAGUAUGUACGCCGACUAUAUCCCCACUCUGGGGAGA
rnacentral:sRNA from 1 species